GACGAACGCUGGCGGCGUGCUUAACACAUGCAAGUCGAACGGAAAGGCCCUGCUUGCAGGGUGCUCGAGUGGCGAACGGGUGAGUAACACGUGGGUGAUCUGCCCCUUACUUUGGGAUAAGCCUGGGAAACUGGGUCUAAUACUGGAUAGGACCAUGCUGUAGGUGGUGUGGUGGAAAGAUUAGUUUCGGUAAGGGAUGAGCUCGCGGCCUAUCAGCUUGUUGGUGGGGUAAUGGCCUACCAAGGCGUCAACGGGUAGCCGGCCUGAGAGGGUGGACGGCCACAUUGGGACUGAGAUACGGCCCAGACUCCUACGGGAGGCAGCAGUGGGGAAUAUUGCACAAUGGGCGCAAGCCUGAUGCAGCGACGCCGCGUGGGGGAUGACGGCCUUCGGGUUGUAAACUCCUUUCAGCCAUGACGAAGCCCUUGUGGUGACGGUAGUGGUAGAAGAAGCACCGGCUAACUACGUG
rnacentral:rRNA from 1 species